GACGAGGGAUCCUAGCGUUGUUCGGAAUCAUUGGGCGUAAAGCGGGUGUAGGCGGAUUUAUAAGUCAGGUGUGAAAUCCCAGGGCUCAACCCUGGAAGUGCACUUGAUACUGUAGAUCUUGAAUGUGGUAGAGGUUACUGGAAUUGUUGGUGUAGUGGUGAAAUACGUAGAUAUCAACAGGAAUACCGGAGGCGAAGGCGAGUAACUGGGCCAACAUUGACGCUGAGAUCCGAAAGUGUGGGGAUCAAACAGG
rnacentral:rRNA from 1 species